rnacentral:tRNA from 1 species
GGGGCCUUAGCUCAGUUGGUAGAGCGCUGCCAUUGCAAGGCAGAUGUCAGGAGUUCGAAUCUCCUAGGCUCCA